rnacentral:piRNA from 1 species
ACAGAGCUGUAGGGAGCCGUCCCUG